GCUGGAGGAACAAGAAGGCUGAGUCUGAGGAAGCCAGACUUUGCUGAUACACUCCUCCUAGAGAAAGGGGUGGAAGAGCAGCCCUUCCUGGAGAGAGCCACAGGGCUGACUGUACUACCCGACACUU